CCGGAGACCGUCAAUAGCAGCGUCUCGACAUCCAGUCUGGAAUCCACCCAGGCGUUUGGACGGCUUCGCUUCGUCCGGGGCGGGCAUGCUCCUGCUUAAGCACAUCAGGGAUCGCGCUCCGAAGCCAAACGUGCAGUCGGCGGUGUGCGCCUAGGAUAAAUAAAGGUCAUGCCACAAGCAACAUUGAUUAAAGAGGCAAGCCAGGUGACAUCCAAGUCUGGAACCCUCCCAUUGGCUAUGCUGGCUGGGGUUGAUGGAAGUUGUAAUUCAACAAGUUGCAGGGAAAGCUUGCUUAGAGAACUUCUAGAAUUUGCUGCAUCUCAAGACGGCUUACAGAAAUCAAAACAAGCAAUCCAUAAUCAAAACAACGAUUAACAAUAAUUAAGAAUAUACAUACAAUCAACAGUAACCUAUCACCAAUGAAAACAAAGUCGAGAACAAGAACAAGAACAAAAUGCGACUGGAUGGUUAAAAACCAGAUUAAAAUUCCUCGUUCUUAAAAUGGUGGGCA